GCCACUGUAGCUCAGCGGCAGAGCGACAGUUUCGUAAACUGUAGGCCGGGGGUUCGAUCCCCUCCAGUGGCUCCA
rnacentral:tRNA from 1 species